CAACCCUGGUGGCGAGUGGCGAACGGGUGAGUAAUACAUCGGAACGUGUCCUGUAGUGGGGGAUAGCCCGGCGAAAGCCGGAUUAAUACCGCAUACGCUCUACGGAGGAAAGGGGGGGAUCUUAGGACCUCCCGCUACAGGGGCGGCCGAUGGCAGAUUAGCUAGUUGGUGGGGUAAAGGCCUACCAAGGCGACGAUCUGUAGCUGGUCUGAGAGGACGACCAGCCACACUGGGACUGAGACACGGCCCAGACUCCUACGGGAGGCAGCAGUGGGGAAUUUUGGACAAUGGGGGCAACCCUGAUCCAGCAAUGCCGCGUGUGUGAAGAAGGCCUUCGGGUUGUAAAGCACUUUUGUCCGGAAAGAAAACGCCGUGGUUAAUACCCGUGGCGGAUGACGGUACCGGAAGAAUAAGCACCGGCUAACUACGUGCCAGCAGCCGCGGUAAUACGUAGGGUGCAAGCGUUAAUCGGAAUUACUGGGCGUAAAGCGUGCGCAGGCGGUCCGCUAAGACAGAUGUGAAAUCCCCGGGCUUAACCUGGGAACUGCAUUUGUGACUGGCGGGCUAGAGUAUGGCAGAGGGGGGUAGAAUUCCACGUGUAGCAGUGAAAUGCGUAGAGAUGUGGA
rnacentral:rRNA from 1 species